GGUAUUUGUGCCCAGUUGAUCACCAUGCACAAAGGCUGAAUGACUCCUCACCCUGUAACAUAGCCUUCAGUUCUAAGGUGGAGAUUGACAGAGCCCAAUCAGAAAAAACAAAACAAAACAAAAAUAAACAACAACAAGAACAACAGACAUGCAUGUGGAUGGCGUUGGUAAACUGACAGUUCCUAAGGAAGGUAAUUUCUUGGGCUAAGUGUAAGGCUCUUUUCGAGACCCAAGGAAGACACGGAGGCAUCUGCACGUGCUCUGCCAGUCCUUGAUUGGUUUUUGGUCAUGGCGUUUAGUCACAGCAACAGAAACCCUAACUAUGACAACAUAAAAGAACGACCUGAGAGUGAUGUUUGGGUAGAGGGAAAGGACUGAGAUAGUAGGUCACACGCUUGAAACUUAGGAUUCCCUACCUCCUGGCCCCUGUCCUGCACAGGACACGACUCACUGUCUGCUUCCGAGAAUGAUCCAGACUCGUCACUGGAAUUGGUUCCGUAAGACUGCUCACAUUUAAUCUGGGGUCGGACUUGGUUGUACAUUCCAUCUCCCAUCAGGCCUGGUUCCUGAUGUUCCGUGGCAAGGAAUCUGGCUCCCUGGGAACAGGGCGAAGAGGAGAACUCACAGAGAGGGAGGCUGCAGGGGGAGCCCCCACUCCCGUCCUCUGCGUAGGAAUACGAGGAGCAG
ensembl:antisense Bach2os BTB and CNC homology 2, opposite strand